rnacentral:rRNA from 1 species
UACGGAGGGUGCAAGCGUUAAUCGGAAUUACUGGGCGUAAAGGGUGCGUAGGUGGUACGAUAAGUUAUCUGUGAAAGCCCUGGGCUCAACCUGGGAAGGCCAGAUAAAACUGUUGAACUAGAGUAUGGGAGAGGGUAGUGGAAUUUCCGGUGUAGCGGUGAAAUGCGUAGAGAUCGGAAGGAACACCAGUGGCGAAGGCGGCUACCUGGCCUAAUACUGACACUGAGGAGCGAAAGCGUGGGGAGCGAACAGG